ACAUGCCUACAGAAUAUUGUUAAUGCAUCAGAUCCAAUUAGAACUCUGCAUUUAAGAACACUCAAGCUAGAGUAGUACUGGGAUGGGUGACCACCUGGGAAGUCCUAGUGUUUUACAUGCC
rnacentral:rRNA from 1 species